GAACAACAUCGUCUCCUUGAUGAAGAACCCAUGCAAGCGCUAGUUGAGCAGGAGUGCAUCCAUGCUUCUUAGCCAAUGCUUCUACACGAAAGUAUAAGACUUUAUUCUUAUCAAAGUUCUCUCCCUGAAGUCUUGGGUGAUCUGCCUGAAGGUACAAAAAUGACACUACUUCUCAGCAACUAGAGAUUAUAAAAGCGAAGAAACUACAAAUUGAUCUUUGAUACUAAAGAAGAUAUUACACAUUGAAAAUUUUAAAAGACAUAGAUGCGUACACACCAAUGAGUUAUUUUCCAUGCUUCCCACAACAGCCUUCCCAGCAAAAAACCCUCGACCUAAGGGACUGUAUGGAACUAUUCCAAUCCCAAGUUCUCUAUGAUCCAUUUCCGAAAAGAAAAAAAGAAACACUACAUGAGAUCAUAAUCUUUAAAUAUGAAGGAUGACAAUUAGAAAAAUAACCGACACAAGCUUGAAUUGUAGUAGUGGAAAGAAGAUUAAUCAGAGUAUUGAAGCAUUGAUAGAAAAGAGGGAAAAUACUUAUUGUAUUCUAAUUAAAAGCACAACGUUCAAAACACUAACUGAGACGGUAGUUUUAACCAUUAGUACUGCAAAUUAAAUUCAGGAAGAAAAAUACAAAAACAUGGAAGCAUUAAAAUAGAAUACAGGAGCUCAACAUUGUAAUGUUAAUCCUAGGAGAAAAACGACAUCAAAUAAUUAUGUUGUGCAAAAUUAAUUUCAAAUUCAAACAUCAGCUCUUAAGUUCCUAUUUAGAUAGCAAGUUGCAAAAAUGUUAGCUGAAUAUAAUAUUUUAUGAGUGUUACAACAAAAAUGGGUUGUAAUGCUUCUUUGACUGCAAUAUAUACAAUGUUCUAAUUCUUGAUGGAUGUAGGUUUUGAUAAUUAAGCAACCUUUUAUUUUGAAAGAAUAAUGCUAUUGGCAGUGAAAACUAUCAGCAAUCGUCCUAUGUAGCGUAUACUUAGCAAUUUUUUAUUUGAUGUAUAAUUCAAAAAAUAACUACCAUAUAUAUAUAUAUAUAUCAAAUACCAAAUUGUGAAGUGUAUGCCACAUAGAGCGACUAUUAACAGUCUUCACUACGAAUAGCAUUACUCUUAAAAAAUAUAUAUCUAUAUAUACAUUUCUAAAUAUUGAUUUGACAUCAUUUCAAUCACAAAUUUUUCAAUAAAAUAAUAUUACACAUAAAUUCAAAAAAUUUUCUCAUUUUUUAACCACACAUUCUCUACUAAUCUACUAUUUUAGAAUAUAUUCUUUCAAAAUAAUGUGGCACAAACACUUGAAAUUUACUAAAAAUCUGAUUUUGAUUCCUACCAAACAAGUAUUAAAUAAAUGUAAACAAUGCGUAAUUAGAACGGUUUUGAAGUAAGAAGGGUUCACCAACCUCGCAUAUGAUAUAUCGGGACUAAGCAAGCCCAUUAAUGACCUACAAAGAUCACUGAGGAGGAUCAACAUCGGACUAUUACAAAUGACGAGCUAAUUAUUGUGUCAAGAAGCCCUUGCAUCAUCAUUGCUAUCAAGGAUCAAUCACAAUUUUUGACAAGACAAGACAAAUUACGAUCAACUCGAUCAUGGACAAUUAUAGUCUUCUAAUGCUUUUCUCCACCAAUCAAAAGGUAUCUCGCCAUAUUAUUGACACAACUCCUGAUGCAAAUAUUGUAGCUAGGGUAUUUCAAAUAGCCUAUAAAAGGGAAGGAAGAGAGAAAUAUAUAGAUAAAGAGAGAGAAGAAGAAAUAGAAAGAGAUAUGUUGGAGGCCCAUAUUGGCAACCACAAAAAGGUUAGGUAAGGUGACAAACGGGCUGCGCAUUUCACGAAUUCAACACUUCAUGGCUUGGUUCAUGAACCGUUCGAGUUCGUAUUGAAAAAAGUCAUGAAUCAACACAAGCUCAAUUUUUUGAAUUCAUGGAUCAGCUCAUUUUUUGACUGACUUUAUUUAUUUCUUAAAAAUGCUCUACCUCAUGGGAACCAGCCCAAAAAACGGUGAUGUUGAUGUUUAGCUUGGAUGUGAUCUUAGCCAAAAGCCCCAAAAAAAAAAAAUAAUAAUAAUAAUAAUGUCGCAGAGAAUGUUGAGUGCGUGAAAGAAGUCGCAAUUUAAAAAAAUGAAAAUGACAAAUACAGAGACGAGGAGAGAUAAAUAAAAAGUAAAAAGGAAAAAAGGUAGAAAGAAAAGAAGAAUAUAGGUUAAGACUCAGGGAGAUGGAUGUGUGGCCUAAAAGGUAAAAGCCGACAGAGGUAACGCCAGAGAGAGCAGCUGCGACUGCUGUGCUGGUGAAUGAUUUGCGAUCAAGGUUGCUGAGCCAGGAUGAGUAAUUUUCCUCUUAAGUUGCGAUAUGAUACCAUGUUAAGAUUUACAUUUGCUAUAUGUAUUGACAAUAUUAAUAAUGUUACAUAAAUAGUCAUAAUACAGUUCAAAUCCAAAACAAGAACAAUUAUGCUACAUUAAUCUUCGUGUAAAAUAUACAGAGACUGUGACAAAGAGUCGCCUUAGCUGUCUAAAACUUUAUCACCAACAGGAAGCCACCGAUAUAAUUUCAUGUUUGUAUAAACUCGAAGAACCUGUCAGUGUUAAUUUUUCAUGCUUCUACUUAAUUUAGUACCAUUAGGCAUGUACCUACAAGCUACAUGGCAUCUCCAGUCUGACAGAAUGGUAAUACAUCUAGAAAACAAUUUGAUUAUCAAGACAAUCAUAGCAUUUUAUUAAAGAGCCCAAAAAAAAGAGGUUCAAUUAUUCAAUAGCCAUGCGAUUUAUUACUUGCCAUCUGCAUGCACACAAAGUAGUGGAAGUUGGAUAACCAUAAAGGGAAUUAAAAGUAAGCAGAUGAAACUGCAUCAAAUAUCGACAAGACUUAAAAACUAGUUUUUUCAACAUAACACGCUGAUAAUUUUCCAUUUUGCUGGUUCAUUUUGGGAGUGGAGUCUUCACAAAUUCCCACGUGGUCUUAUGAAAAGCCUCAUUAGAACUUCUCGACCCCGCUACUUCAUUGAUGGGAACCGCAUCGGUAAUUUCUUUCAAAUCAUCUUUCGUAAGCUUCAAUUUAAGAGAAUCAAUAUUGGAGUGAAGAUUCUUAAUUUUAGUCGUACCUACAA
rnacentral:lncRNA from 1 species